AGCGAACGCUGGCGGCGUGCUUAACACAUGCAAAUCGAGCGAAGGUGUUUCAAGGGUAACCUUGAGAUACACUUAGCGGCGGACGGGUGAGUAAUACGUGGAUAACCUACCUCUAGGCCUGGGAUAACCCCGGGAAACUGGGGCUAAUACCUGAUAAGACCACAUUGUCUACGGACAAAGGGGUAAAAGGUGGCUGUGCAAACAGCUAUCGCCAAAAGAUAGGUUCACGUCCCAUCAGGCAGUGGUGAGGUAAUGGCUCACCAAACCAAAGACGGGUAGCCGGCCUUGGCGGGUGAACGGCCACACGGGGGACUGAGACACGGCCCCGACUCCUACGGGAGGCAGCAGUGGGGAAUAUUGGGCAAUGGGCGCAAGCCUGACCCAGCGACGCCGCGUUGGGGAAGAAGGCCCUUCGGGUUGUAAACCCA
rnacentral:rRNA from 1 species